rnacentral:rRNA from 1 species
UACGUAGGGGGCAAGCGUUGUCCGGAAUCAUUGGGCGUAAAGAGCGUGUAGGCGGUCCGGUAAGUCGGCUGUGAAAGUCCAGGGCUCAACCCUGGGAUGCCGGUCGAUACUGCCGGACUAGAGUUCGGAAGAGGCGAGUGGAAUUCCCGGUGUAGAGGUGAAAUUCGUAGAUAUCUGGAGGAACACCGGAGGCGAAAGCGGCCAUCUGGCGAGACAUUGACGCUAAGGUGCGAAAGCGCGGGGAUCAAACAGG